rnacentral:miRNA from 1 species
CUAGUUCCUUCGAUAUCAGUGUAAUCUAAUAAUCAUGAUAUUUGCUGUGUUGGCAAAUAUCAUGAUUAUUAGAUUACACUGAAAUAUCAUGAUUAU